rnacentral:rRNA from 1 species
AAACACAGCCAUAUCACCCUGCAGCUCACUAAAGCUAAGCAGGGUUGAGCCUGGUCAGUUCCUGGAUGGGAGACCACAUGGGAAAACAAGGUUUCUGUUAGAA